AUGGCUUCUGCUGAAGGAGGCGACAAGUACCGGUCGUUCCUGCACGGCGACGGCGAGAAGAACACCGUGUGGAGGCAUGGAUUCCCUCCCAACUACGACCUGGUGAACAAGCUCUUCGAGGAAGAGCGGACCAAGGAAUGGCCGGAGGGGUCUCUGGAGGAGAAGGUGCAGCGCCUGCUCAAGAGCUGGGAGAUGGAGAUGGUCCACAAGGUGCGCCCCGAGGACCAGAAGAGCGUCCACCCCAAGAAUUACUCCGCGAGCACCAACGGGCUGAAGCCUCUGACGCGGGAGGAGGUGGCGGCCAUCGGCGGCUACAACGCGUUCCUGGCGACCACCCUGCCGCCGGAGCACCGCAUCUACGACUCCGGCAUGUCGACGUUCCUCACGGCGUUCCCCAGGGGCUUCGCCAUCGAGGUGCUGGACGUGUACAGCGGCCCGCCGAGGGUCGCCUUCAAGUUCCGGCACUGGGGCUACAUGGAGGGCCCGUUCAAGGGGCACCCCCCACACGGCCAGCGCGUCGAGUUCUUUGGGGUCUGCGUCUUCCAUGUUAACGAGCACACGAGGGUGGAGAAGGCGGAGUACUUCUACGAGCGUGGCAACUUCCUCGCGGGCUUCUUGAGCUCGCCCGCUGCUGCUGCUGCAUCGGCUUCAGGUUGCCCUGUGAUGAGAGCAAACUAA
rnacentral:rRNA from 1 species